AACGCUGGCGGCGCGCUUAACACAUGCAAGUCGAGCGAGAACCAGUCCUUCGGGACUGGGGAAAGCGGCGAACGGGUGAGUAUCACGUGGGUAAUCUGCCCUCGGCACUGGGAUAGCCCGGGGAAACCCGGAUUAAUACCGGAUAGCCUCUCGAGCCUUCGGGCUCGUCAGAAAAGGUAGCUUCGGCCUCCGACCGAGGACGAGCCCGCGGCGGAUUAGCUUGUUGGCGGGGUAACGGCCCACCAAGGCGACGAUCCGUAGCUGGUCUGAGAGGACGAUCAGCCACACUGGGACUGAGACACGGCCCAGACUCCUACGGGAGGCAGCAGUGGGGAAUCUUGCGCAAUGGGCGAAAGCCUGACGCAGCGACGCCGCGUGAGGGAAGAAGGCCUUCGGGUUGUAAACCUCUUUCAGUAGGGACGAAGCUACUCGGGUUAAUAGCCCAGAGGGUGACGGUACCUACAGAAGAAGCCCCGGCUAACUACGUGCCAGCAGCCGCGGUAAAAC
rnacentral:rRNA from 1 species